UACGGGGGGGGCAAGCGUUGUUCGGAAUUACUGGGCGUAAAGGGCUCGUAGGUGGCCAACUAAGUCAGACGUGAAAUCCCCAGGCUUAACCUGGGAACUGCGUCUGAUACUGGAUGGCUUGAAUUCGGGAGAGGGAUGCAGAAUUCCAGGUGUAGCGGUGAAAUUCGUAGAUAUCGGGAGGAACACCGGUGGCGAAGGCGGCGACCUGGGUCGACACUGACGCUGAGGCGCGAAAGCGUGGGGAGCAAACAGG
rnacentral:rRNA from 1 species